CAUAUACUCCCUCCGUCCAAUAAAAGAUGUCUCAAGUUUAUCAAAAUUUAGAUAUAUCUAGACAUGACUUAGUGUAUAGACGCAUUCAAAUUUAGUCGAAGUUGAGACAUCCUUUCUUGGACGGAGGGAGUAUAUU
rfam:Brachypodium distachyon strain Bd21 chromosome 1, whole genome shotgun sequence.